rnacentral:rRNA from 1 species
CCCUGCUCCUUGCACACACCGCCCGUCGUUCCACUCGAGUGGGUUUAGGAUGAGACGCGGUCCUUUGUGGCUGUGUCGAAUCUUAGGUUCGCGUGAGGGGAA